rnacentral:lncRNA from 1 species
UGUUUUCUGAGACAUUCCCCAUUUUAUAAUAUUGUUUUUGACUGAUAAACCCCCAAAAUAUGUUUGAAUAUAUUAUGUCCACUGACUUUUAUAUAUUAGCCUACAAAAGAAAUAUGAGCGUUAAAUUUCAUGAAAUUUAUAUAGGAAAUGAAACUACCACUUACAAAAAAACAGGAUCAGCCCAUUCCUGAAGAUUCUGGAAAUACUCUACUAUCUAAAGAAGAAAAACCAACUGUUGAUUUUUCAAUGGAUUCGUCAGUAGAAUUUCCUGAAAAUCACAAUCAAAAUUUAAAGGCCAUGGAAGAACAUGAAAGAGACAAUAAAGAAUCCCAAGGACGACUGAAAGUGGCUGAAGAGGUCAAAAAACUUGCUGGACAAGUGGAAAUCUGGGAGGCAGAAACCAAAUCUGCCUUGGAUCUCCUGAGACAUGGAGAUGCUGUGGAUAGCUCCUUGGAAGAAUCUUUGCAGGUAAGAGUGGAAAAAUAUUAAGCAGACAUUUUCUGGUUGUAGACUCAUGUUUUAAUAUAUAAACAGAAAGGCUUUAAAUAAAAAGUUUUAAAACAAGUAGUAAUAUGCCUACAGUUUUAAUUUUCUUUAUUUGGAGUUUUAAAAAUGGCAUGGUAUCUGAUCCCUGAUCAUCUGGGAUUUAGCUUGAAAUACCUAAUGAGAGGACGUUCUUGGACAGAUUUUCCCAGCUGUAGAAUGGGUAUUCUCUUGCAUCAGAGGACAAUGGGGACAUCAGUGAGUUCAGUCUCACAUCUCUCAGUGCAGUAGAAACAUAAGAUUACACCAUUUGUGCUUUGAAACUUCUCCCAUGGAACAAGCUGCUUCCCCUCCCUACUUGAUAUAGGGCGGGUGAGUGAUGUCCUCAGAACCCCGUCUGUCUGUAUUCUCACGGAUAAGCAGUGAGGCUGAGUGUAUUUCAGUAUUACUUAGUUCUCCUAGGAGGGAAGUUAUAAUUGAGGUUUUUACUGAGUCCCAGCUCAGCUAUAAAAUCUACAGAGCAUACAUUAGGCUAAGAUGGGAAGUUCCUGAGACACAGAAUUUACAUUGUUUUUCUAAAUCUAUAUUUCUGAAAGGUAUAUAUUUCAUCAUCUUGUGUUUUUAUUGUUUAUAAGAGAAAUAACUUUUAUUGCUUUGAAAAUAUAUACUUAUGAAAAUAAAAAAUGACAUCAUUUCAUCUGGUAGUGUUUUGCUAAUUCCAUUUUUUGUUAUUUGGAAUUUAUUUUAGUGAAAAGGGUGGAAAUUCAAUAUUUUAAAAUAUUUUUAAAUAUUUUAAAACUUAAAAUUAUUUAAAGAUGUUUCUAAAACAAUAACAAUAAAAGCCACCACCAUGUAUUUUGUCCCUCACUGAUUAAACAUCAUUAUACAGGGUAUAACUAUAUUUGUUUUUCUUUUCUAUUUUUUUUUGGUACGGGGGAUCAAACUCAGGACCUUUAGCUCGCGAGGCAGGUGGCAGAACCACUGAGCUAAAUUCCCGGCCCAGUACAACUGUAUUUUAAUGAUGCAAGACCUAGUUUGGACUACGAUAAUAAUACAUCACAACAGCAUAGAUCCUGAAAAUACAACCAUGCCGAAAUACAUUUCUCUCUUUUUAUUCAUUAAAUUUGUUGGUGCAUUUUAGGUAUACAGUAUGAUGACAUUCAUCAUUGGGAAUUUGUACCUUUACAUGAUAUAACUUGGUUCUUAAUUUUUUCAAAAUAUACUUCUCUCAAUAAAGAAUUAUAUUAAGUAAAUAUUGGAUCAAAGAAUUUGAUCAAGUUAUAUUCUAAAGUAAGAAAUGCAAGUUGCACAAUGUGAAUA